UGCCUAUGAUGAGAGAUUUGUGAUUUAUAUCAUGUAUGAACUUUCAUGAUUACAACCACUACUGCCUUCCUUCUGAGGCU